UACAGAGGUCCCGAGCGUUGUUCGGAUUCAUUGGGCGUAAAGGGUGCGUAGGCGGUUUCCUAAGUUUGAUGUGAAAUCCCGGGGCUUAACCCUGGAAUUGCAUUGAAUACUGGGAGACUAGAGUACUGGAGAGGAAACUGGAAUUUACGGUGUAGCAGUGAAAUGCGUAGAGAUCGUAAGGAAGACCAGUGGCGAAGGCGAGUUUCUGGACAGUUACUGACGCUGAGGCACGAAGGCCAGGGGAGCAAACGGG
rnacentral:rRNA from 1 species